GACGAACGCUGGCGGCGUGCUUAACACAUGCAAGUCGAACGGUAAGGCCCUUCGGGGUACACGAGUGGCGAACGGGAGAGUAACACGUGGGUGAUCUGCCCUGCACUUCGGGAUAAGCCUGGGAAACUGGGUCUAAUACCGGAUAGGACUCCGGACUGCAUGGUCUGGGGUGGAAAGCUUUUGCGGUGUGGGAUGGGCCCGCGGCCUAUCAGCUUGUUGGUGGGGUGAUGGCCUACCAAGGCGACGACGGGUAGCCGGCCUGAGAGGGUGACCGGCCACACUGGGACUGAGAUACGGUCCAGACUCCUACGGGAGGCAGCAGUGGGGAAUAUUGCACAAUGGGCGCAAGCCUGAUGCAGCGACGCCGCGUGAGGGAUGACGGCCUUCGGGUUGUAAACCUCCUUCAGCAUCGACGAAGCGAAAGUGACGGUAGGUGCAGAAGAAGGACCGGCCAACUACGUGCCAGCAGCCGCCGCGG
rnacentral:rRNA from 1 species